AUGAACUAUGGAAUGAGGUUCCUGAUAUUGUACAGGAGACAGGGAUCAAGACCAUCCCCAUGGAAAAGAAAUGCAAAAAAGCAAAAAUGGCUGUCUGGGGAGGCCUUACAAAUAGCUGUGGAAAGAAGAGAGGUGAAAAGCCAAGGAGAAAAGGAAAGAUAUAAGCAUCUGAAUGCAGAGUUCCAAAGAAUAGCAAGAAGAGAUAAGAAUGCCUUCUUCAGCGAUCCAUGCAAAGAAAUAGAGGAAAACAACAGAAUGGGAAAGACUAGAGAUCUCUUCAAGAAAAUGAGAGAUACCAAGGGAAUAUUUCAUGCAAAGAUGGGCUUGAUAAAGGACAGAAAUGGUCUGGACCUAGCAGAAGCAGAAGAUAUUAAGAAGAGGUGGCAAGAAUACAUGGAAGAACUGUACAAAAAAGAUCUUCACGACCCAGAUAAUCAUGAUGAUGUGAUCACUAAUCUAGAGCCAGACAUCUUGGAAAGUGAAGUCAAGUGGGCCUUAGAAAGCAUCACUAUGAACAAAGCUAGUGGAGGUGAUGGCAUUCCAGUUGAGCUGUUUCAAAUCCUGAAAGGUGAUGCUGUGAAAGUGCUGCACUCAAUCUGCCAGCAAAGUUGGAAAACUCAGCAGUGGCCACAGGACUGGAAAAGGUCAGUUUUGAUUCCAAUUCCAAAGAAAAGCAAUGCCAAAGAAUGCUCAAACUACCACACAAUUGCACUCAUCUCACAUGCUAGGAAAGUAGUGCUCAAAAUUCUGCAAGCCAGGCUUCAGCAAUACGUGAACCAUGAACUUCCUGAUAUUCAAGCUAGAUUCAGAAAAGGCAGAGGAACCAGAGAUCAAAUUGCCAACAUCCGCUGGAUCAUGGAAAAAGCAAGAGAGUUCCAGAAAAACAUCUAUUUCUGCUUUCUUGACUAUGCCAAAGCCUUUGACUGUGUGGAUCCCAAUAAACUGUGGAAAAUUCUGAAAGAGAUGGGAAUACCAGACCACCUAACCUGCCUCUUGAGAAAUCUGUAUGCAGGUCAGGAAGCAACAGUUAGAACUGGACGUGGAACAACAGACUGGUUCCAAACAGGAAAAGGAGUCCGUCAAGGCUGUAUGUUGUCACUCUGCUUAUUUAACUUCUAUGCAGAGUACAUCAUGAGAAACGCUGGACUGGAAGAGGCGCAAGCUGGAAUCAAGGUUGUCGGGAGAAAUAUCAAUAACCUCAGAUAUGCAGAUGACACCAGCCUUAUGGCAGAAAGUGAAGAGGAGCUAAAAAGCCUCUUGGUGAAAGUGAAAGAGGAGAGUGAAAAAGUUGGCUUAAAGCUCAACAUUCAGAAAACGAAGAUCAUGAUAUCCGGUCCCAUCACUUCAUGGGAAAUAGAUGGGGAAAGAGUGGAAACAGUGUCAAACUUUAUUUUUGGGGGCUCCAGAUUCACUGCAGAUGGUGACUGCAGCCAUGAAAUUAAAAGAUGCUUACUCCUUGGAAGAAAAGUUAUGACCAACCUAGAUAGUAUAUUCAAAAGCAAAGACAUUACUUUGCUGACUAAGGUCUGUCUAGUCAAGGCUAUGGUUUUUCCUGUGGUCAUGUAUGGAUGUGAGAGUUGGACUGUGAAGAAGGCUGAGCGCCAAAGAAUUGAUGCGUUUGAACCGUGGUGCUGGAGAAGACACUUGAGAGUUCCUUGGGCUGCAAGGAGAUCCAACCAGUCCAUUCUGAAGGAGAUCAACUCUGGGAUUUCUUUGGAAGGAAUGAUGCUAAAGCUGAAACUCCAGUACUUUGGCCACCUCAUGCGAAGAGUUGACUCAUUGGAAAAUACUCUGAUGCUGGGAGGGAUUGGGGGCAGGAGGAGAAGGGGACGACCGAGGAUGAGAUGGCUGGAUGGCAUCAUGGACUCAAUGGACGUGAGUCUGAGUGAACUCCAGGAGUUGGUGAUGCACGGCAGGCCUGGCGUGCUGCGAUUCAUGGGGUCACAAAGAGUUGGACAUGACUGA
rnacentral:lncRNA from 1 species